rnacentral:rRNA from 1 species
UACAGAGGGGGCAAGCGUUGUUCGGAAUUACUGGGCGUAAAGGGCGCGUAGGCGGCCUGCUAAGUCGAACGUGAAAUCCCCGAGCUCAACUCGGGAACUGCGUUCGAUACUGACAGGCUUGAAUCCGGGAGAGGGAUGCGGAAUUCCAGGUGUAGCGGUGAAAUGCGUAGAUAUCUGGAGGAACACCGGUGGCGAAGGCGGCAUCCUGGACCGGCAUUGACGCUGAGGCGCGAAAGCAUGGGGAGCGAACGGG